rnacentral:misc_RNA from 1 species
GUGGGAGGGGGCUUGCUUCCGAUGGCAGUCUGUCAGCGACUUAUUAGUGGACUGACCCACGGCUAUCGGGAGCAAGCCCCCUCCCAU